GAUGAAGAACGUAGCAAAAUGCGAUAAGUAAUGUGAAUUGCAGAAUUCAGUGAAUCAUCGAAUCUUUGAACGCACAUUGCGCCCGCCAGUAUUCUGGCGGGCAUGCCUGUUCGAGCGUCAUUUCAACCCUCAAGCACAGCUUGGUGUUGGGACUCGCGUUAAUUCGCGUUCCCCAAAUUGAUUGCGGUCACGUCGAGCUUCCAUAGCGUAGUAGUAAAACCCUCGUUACUGGUAAUCGUCGCGGCCACGCCGUUAAACCCCAACUUCUGAAUGUUGACCUCGGAUCAGGUAGGAAUACCCGCUGAACUUAAGCAUAUCAAUAAGCGGAGGA
rnacentral:misc_RNA from 1 species